GCCAUGGCAACAGUUCUGUCUUCUGAAGUCUCCAGCUCUCUCUGGCAAGAACGGUUCUGUCUCUGCUUUCACAUGUUCUUGUGUCUUUGUCCUACCCUCGAAGCUUCCUCUCGUUCUUCUGCCUUCCAGGGGUGCUCCUUGGGAAGCAGUGGGGCACUCACCAAGUUUCGUAGCUGCAGAGUCCAAAAACUUGGCUCUAAGUCUUGGCUCCACUUCUUCUGGUGACCUUGGACCCAUCCUCUGCCCUCUGGUUUUUUUGGCACAAGAUCUAACUACCUCAGUGGGGGCAUGAGAGCCGAAGGAGAUGGUGUUACUGGCAGGGGGAAGUGCGUGAUGCCAAUUAGUUUUUAGGAUUCCAGGAGCUUCUGGAAAGCAGGCUUUUAUGGAAGGACACUUGGAAGGAGCGAAGUGCAAAAAAUGAACAAAGAGGCCCGAUGAUGCAUCUGCUGAACUUUUCAGUUGUCAAAUGCAAAUUGAGCACAAAGAGGACAGAGUUGAUGACAUAUCAGGAACAUUUUUUAUUUCCAGAGCAGGUCUGAGUCCCAGCGGAAGACUGAGGCCGACUGAGCCAGAGGUACCACUUCAACAGGUCACUGGUCUCUGCAGAGGAAGGAAAAGGUGUAAGAGUUCUCCCUGCAUAGAUGCUAUUUGUGACUUGGAUGUUUUCUUUCUAAUACAAAUGCAUCAAAGUGUUCACAGGAAUCUAGCUAUAUGCAAGAAGUCUGGAUUUUCUGCCUGAGAGAACUGGCCAGUAUCUCACCCAUGGGCACCAGAACCCAUUUCUAGAUUACUAAGAAAUGAGCACAAGAAUACUGUGUAUAAGGCACUGUGUUCCUAGACCUUUCCAAAUUUUACUUAAUGCAGAUUAACUUCAUCAACCCUGGUGAAAAUGCCACCUCCUCUAGGAAGCCUUCCCCAUUUGUCCCGUCUCAGAGACAUUUGACUCCAUGGGCUUCUCUGCAGUUUUGUUCCGUGUAGGACUGCCUAGUGCCUAGCUUUCUUGUGGUGUUCCUUGCUUAUGUCUUGUCUCCCCAUUUGAUUUGGAGGGUCCUGGGAAGGGACCACUGGGCUGGGCUUAGCAGGUCCCCUGUAAAGACCUGUUGAGUAAUUAGAAGAGACAGUGGCCCCAUCUGGGUGAAUCCUGAAUUUAAUCAAUUCCCUGGAUCCCUGUUUAUCUUGCAAGUAGGGUAAGAAUGUCAUUGAAAUCCUAUGAUGUAGUCAUGGAAGGGCUAAUCCAGUCAGUGUACUACUACUAGUCACUAGGCAUACUGUUUAGCUCAGCGGUUUUUUGUUUUGUUUUGAUAACAAGACUGUCUCGAUGAAGGAAGCUGGGCAUUGUUUAAUAUUCUAAUGCAGGCUCCUUAUUUCACAGCAUACUGGUAGUUACACUUGGAGUCGUGGUGAAAUAAAACAUCUAGGCCAGCGCCGUGGCUCACGUCUGUAAUCCCAGCACUUUCAGAGGCUGAGGCAGGUGGAUCACUUGAGGUCAAGAG